UACGUAGGGGGCAAGCGUUGUCCGGAUUUAUUGGGCGUAAAGAGCGUGUAGGCGGCUUUACAGGUCCGUUGUGAAAACUCGAGGCUCAACCUCGAGACGCCGGUGGAAACCGUAAAGCUAGAGUCCGGAAGAGGAGAGUGGAAUUCCUGGUGUAGCGGUGAAAUGCGCAGAUAUCAGGAAGAACACCCAGGGGGAAGGCCGCUCUCUGGGACGGGACUGACGCUGAGACGCGAAAGCGUGGGGAGCGAACAGG
rnacentral:rRNA from 1 species